rnacentral:lncRNA from 1 species
CGGGACGCGGGAGGCAGGAGGGGGAGGCGGACACCAACUAACCUGCUAAUAGGAAGAGCCGGAGGAGUCAACCCUCCGCAAAUUCGCUUGACAAUCUUCCCACUUUGUGUUGGAAGCGCCCAAUGCAGAAACCCUUUACAAAAAUAAGUGCAAUUCUAACACCUAACAAGGAAAUAAAAAAAAAUUACAGCACAGGAAUGAUACAGCUGAUGGCAAAACAAAUGGAAAUAUUAAACUCAAAGAUAGACUAUCAGCAGAGACAGGAGUAAAUGUCACAUAUGAUAUAACCAUACAGUAAGCAAACAGGAUUCUUAUAUGGGAUUGAGAUACUCCUUCUUCCCGCACCCCCCGACCGCACACAGCCGUGGACGGAGCCGUGUAAAUGAACUCUAUGUCUUUGUCAGGGCCUUUAAACAUCUGCAACGAAAGAGCACGAGUGAGUGCCUGGCUGCUGCUGCCCGGCAGCUCUGCCCUGCCCGCCCCGGCCCCACGCCGCGUCCCCGUACCUUGAUCUGCUUGAUCUCGUACUGGAUUCGCUUGAUCGGAUUCCCAUAUAUAUCGUUCCCUGAAUCCACCUCUUUCGCAGAGACGGCCUUUGCUCGGAUCACUGCAACAAAUAGACGUGGGGAGGUUAGCAGGGUGGUGCAGGGAUGCAGCGAGCUUCGUGACGGUGCCGCGGGGGCUUUGAGGAGGGCAGAUCCUGGGGUCCCGCUUGCCCCCUCUCCCCCGCCGGGGUGUGGAGGCUCGGAUGCUCAUGUUUCCCGCACGAGGCCAGCUGGGCUGAACUGCCUUCGUUGUUCCCCCUCUCCUUGUGGCACAGGCCACCCACGGGCUCUCAGCCGCCGCGGAGCUGGCUGUCACACGCUGUCCCCCAGGGACGCGCGGGAAGGUUGAGGGCAGCACUGGAGCAGCACGUCGCAGGGGGGGUGAUAAGGAAAGGUCACCCCCUGGCAUGGCCUGGCUCUGCCCCUCUCCCCCCACAUCCAGCCGGUUGCCCCCAAACAGCUCCAGCUCCGGGCAGGAUGCUGCCUGGGCUCAUGGCGCCCGUCACCCACAUGGCACCAGGGCUCAGCAGGACAGCUAAAACCCUGCCAGCAGUUUCCCGGAAGCGCUGCAGUAUUUGUCCUACUGUCAUUAAUUAAACUGGCCUCUGAGCAGGGCCCCAGCCAAGGGCCGGCGUGACCUGGCCUGGCCGGAGCGGACA